UGGGGGAUAUUGCACAAUGGGCGAAAGCCUGAUGCAGCGACGCCGCGUGGGGGAUGAAGGCUUUCGGGUUGUAAACCUCUUUCGCUAUCGAACAAGGCCCGCUUAGGGUGGGUUGAGGGUAGGUGGAGAAGAAGCGCCGGCUAACUACGUGCCAGCAGCCGCGGUAAUACGUAGGGCGCGAGCGUUGUCCGGCAUUAUUGGGCGUAAAGGGCUUGUAGUCGUCUUGUUGCGCCUGCUGUGAAAACGCGGGGCUUAACUUCGCGCGUGCAGUGGGUACGGGCAGGCUUGAGUGUGGUAGGGGUGACUGGAAUUCCAGGUGUAGCGGUGGAAUGCGCAGAUAUCUGGAGGAACACCGAUGGCGAAGGCAGGUCACUGGGCCAUUACUGACGCUGAGGAGCGAAAGCAUGGGUAGCGAACAGG
rnacentral:rRNA from 1 species